AUUGAACGCUGGCGGCAGGCCUAACACAUGCAAGUCGAGCGGUAGAGAGAAGCUUGCUUCUCUUGAGAGCGGCGGACGGGUGAGUAAUGCCUAGGAAUCUGCCUGGUAGUGGGGGAUAACGUUCGGAAACGGACGCUAAUACCGCAUACGUCCUACGGGAGAAAGCAGGGGACCUUCGGGCCUUGCGCUAUCAGAUGAGCCUAGGUCGGAUUAGCUAGUUGGUGAGGUAAUGGCUCACCAAGGCGACGAUCCGUAACUGGUCUGAGAGGAUGAUCAGUCACACUGGAACUGAGACACGGUCCAGACUCCUACGGGAGGCAGCAGUGGGGAAUAUUGGACAAUGGGCGAAAGCCUGAUCCAGCCGUGCCGCGUGUGUGAAGAAGGUCUUCGGAUUGUAAAGCACUUUAAGUUGGGAGGAAGGGCAGUUACCUAAUACGUAAUUGUUUUGACGUUACCGACAGAAUAAGCACCGGCUAACUCUGUGCCAGCAGCCGCCGCGG
rnacentral:rRNA from 1 species